rnacentral:rRNA from 1 species
CGGAGGAUCCGAGCGUUAUCCGGAUUUAUUGGGUUUAAAGGGUGCGCAGGCGGGAGAUUAAGUCGGCGGUGAAAUUUUGCAGCUCAACUGUAAAAGUGCCUUCGAAACUGGUUUCCUUGAGUGUAGAUGAAGUAGGCGGAAUUUGUGGUGUAGCUGUGAAAUGCAUAGAUAUCACGAGGAACUCCGAUUGCGCAGGCAGCUUACUAAACUACUACUGACGCUCAGGCACGAAGGCGUGGGGAUCAAACAGGAUUAGAUACCCU